AUGUGUGGCCGCAAAGGAGAAGGGGGAAUGGGUUUUAGGGACUUUGAAUUAUUCAACCAAGCGCUUCUAGCAAAGCAGGUGUGGCGAAUCCUCAUGGUACCCGGGUCGCUAUGCGCGAGGGUCCUUAAGGCUAGGUACUUUCAAGACAGGGACAUCAUGUCUACUACAUGCCCCAAAGGAGCCUCAUAUACAUGGCGAAGCUUGAUACAUGGCAGGGAUUUACUCAUGCAUGGACUAGUCUGGAGAAUAGGAGAUGGCUCUAAAGUUAAUGUGUAUCAUGACAACUGGAUACCUCGCAGCGGCAGCAUAGUACCACUGGGUGCUGAGUUUGAUCCUCAAACGACCAAAGUAGCAAACCUAUUGAACGCCCAAGGCUCGGGGUGGGAUGAGAUGAAGAUUAACAUGAUCUUCUAUGCCACGGACGCUGCUAAUAUCAAGCAAAUUGUUGUAGGAGGAACCGGCAAAGAGGAUUACAGGGCAUGGAACUUCACUAAAUCGGGCAUGUUCACUGUCAUAUCGGCGUACCAUCUUGGGGUCUCAAUGCAGAGAGCAAAAUGGGGAAUGGCUUCAUGCUCUAAUCCGGUAGCAGAUCACAGGAGCUUCUUGCAGCUAUGGGGGGCCGAUGUCCCUAAUAAAGUGAAGAUACACACAUGGAGAAUGCUCUCGAAUGGUUUGGCUAUUGGAAUGGAACUGCGGCGACGACGGAUUAAACAGGGGAUCUUUUGCAUUGCGUGUGGGCGCGAGGAAUCCAUAGCCCAUCUGUUCUAG
rnacentral:rRNA from 1 species